rnacentral:lncRNA from 1 species
UGGGUUAGCUAGGUUUCUUCUCUACGUAUUUGGGUUUCUCCUCUCUCCUUAGGAAUCAACUAAGUUCGAUAUGGUCUUGGUUGAGAACAAAGGAACCCAAGAAAUCGACACAUGACUAAGAAUGAUAUGGAUGUACGGUGAGUUUUCUUCAUUUUGUUAAUAGUGGUGGCAUAGUGGUGGCCUCUCCUUCAACUUCUGCUUUGUUAUUGCUCAAUUAGAGGUUUUAAUUUCCUCCUUUGUUAAUUU